CAGUAGCCGCGGUAAUACGUAGGUGGCAAGCGUUGUCCGGAAUUAUUGGGCGUAAAGCGCGCGCAGGUGGUUUAAUAAGUCUGAUGUGAAAGCCCACGGCUCAACCGUGGAGGGUCAUUGGAAACUGUUAAACUUGAGUGCAGGAGAGAAAAGUGGAAUUCCUAGUGUAGCGGUGAAAUGCGUAGAGAUUAGGAAGAACACCAGUGGCGAAGGCGGCUUUUUGGCCUGUAACUGACACUGAGGCGCGAAAGCGUGGGGAGCAAACAGGAUUAGAUACCCCGGUAGUCCCUGUCUCUUAUAC
rnacentral:rRNA from 1 species